rnacentral:misc_RNA from 1 species
UCUCCGUAGGUGAACCUGCGGAGGGAUCCUUACCGAGUGAGGGCUCACGCCCGACCUCCAACCCUUUGUGAACCCAUCUUGUUGCUUCGGGGGCGACCCUGCCGGCACUCUGUCGCCGGGCGCCCCCGGAGGUCUUCUAAACACUGCAUCUUUGCGUCGGAGUUUAAACAAAUUAAACAAAACUUUCAACAACGGAUCUCUUGGUUCCAGCAUCGAUGAAGAACGCAGC